GCGGACAUAGUUUAGUGGUAAAACCUCAGCCUUCCAAGCUGAUGAUGGGGGUUCGAUUCCCCCUGUCCGCU
rfam:Candidatus Synechococcus spongiarum isolate 1 genome assembly, contig: NODE_764996_length_15182_cov_12